UACGUAGGGGGCGAGCGUUAAUCGGAAUUACUGGGCGUAAAGCGCGCGCAGGCGGUGCGCUGAGUCGGAUGUGAAAUCCCCGGGCUUAACCUGGGAACUGCCAUCGAAACUGGCGUACUAGAGUGUGGCAGAGGGGGGUGGAAUUCCGCGUGUAGCAGUGAAAUGCGUAGAGAUGCGGAGGAACACCGAUGGCGAAGGCAGCCCCCUGGGCUAACACUGACGCUCAGGCACGAAAGCGUGGGGAGCAAACAGG
rnacentral:rRNA from 1 species